rnacentral:rRNA from 1 species
GAUGAACGCUGGCGGCGUGCCUAAUACAUGCAAGUCGAGCGAACAGACGAGGAGCUUGCUCCUCUGACGUUAGCGGCGGACGGGUGAGUAACACGUGGAUAACCUACCUAUAAGACUGGGAUAACUUCGGGAAACCGGAGCUAAUACCGGAUAAUAUAUUGAACCGCAUGGUUCAAUAGUGAAAGACGGUUUUGCUGUCACUUAUAGAUGGAUCCGCGCCGCAUUAGCUAGUUGGUAAGGUAACGGCUUACCAAGGCGACGAUGCGUAGCCGACCUGAGAGGGUGAUCGGCCACACUGGAACUGAGACACGGUCCAGACUCCUACGGGAGGCAGCAGUAGGGAAUCUGCCGCAAUAGGCGAAAGCCUGACGGAGCAACGCCGCGUGAGUGAUGAAGGUCUUCGGAUCGUAAAACUCUGUUAUUAGGGAAGAACAAAUGUGUAAGUAACUAUGCACGUCUUGACGGUACCUAAUCAGAAAGCCACGGCUAACUACGUG